CAGCAGAAACUUUUUAUCUGUAUCCUUGUAAUUGUCUUGAGCUUUUCUUUAAAUUUAUGCUGGUGAAAGUUAUAUAUACUUUUUCUUGCCUUGGAUAUGUCGUCUUGAGCUUACCAAUUGUUUUUCAAGCUUCUUUAUCCUGCCCUUUUUCUUUUCAAUGACUGAGGUAAGGAUUGUUGUACAUCUAAACCCAAUGAUUCAGCUUGCGCAUGAGUCUUCUUGAACUGUUUGACUGUUAGCUACAUAGUACAUACUCAAAUAAGUGCUGCAAACAUUAAAAUUAUGAUGUGGUCGACAGUUAGUUAAUAUAAAGAAGGAAAGGGCCUUUUUUGUUUCUUGGUUUACAAUCUUAUUGGUGAGAGAAGAGAGCUAUAUUACCCAUGUUGAGAACUUGAUAUGAGUGAGCAACAAUCAUGAAUUCCUUGUAAAGUAAUCUGGAUCAGGUAGGAGGAGUUUGCAUGAGUUUGGUUAAUUGUUGGAUAAACUUGGCUUGAGUGAUUUUUGACACUUUCCUGGAAAUGCUAGUAAGGUGCAAUAGACUUGGAAGUUAGACCAAAAAUUGCUGGAGGAAAUCUUAUAUACUCUGACAUCAUUACUGUUGCAGGCUCCUAGUUGGCGCGAUCGAUCGCUAUAGCUUAUAAUACAUUGCAAAAGCUGCACAUACAAUGGGAGAGAAUUCUGGUGCCUAUUGCAUAUUAUUGGAAGAACUUAAGUUUAUUCAUGACUGAUGAGCCUUGAUUAUAUUUUUUAUAUUAUGUUCAAUUAAAGUAUUUCAUUGGAAAAUGAAUUCUACUGAGGGGGUGAAGGUUUAAAUGUGCGUUCUAGGCAUGAAUUGUACAAAUCAAAUCGCAGAGAAAUCACUUAGAAGAAAACUAUUACAACUAAAUUACAUCAAACUUUA